GGUGACGUGUCCGAGUGGCUGAAGGAGCACGCCUGGAAAGCGUGUAAAGGGUAACCUUUCGAGAGUUCGAAUCUCUCCGUCACCGCCA
rnacentral:tRNA from 6 species